ensembl:lncRNA
CCCUUUUCGUUGAGGUUGGUUCUGGAGGCGGUGGCCGUGACCUGCAGGACACCCCCAGACCCGGGGAUGGGGACAGUGACCUGCAGGACACCCCCAAUGACCUGCAGGACACCCCCAGACCUGGGGAUGGGGACAGUGACCUGCAGGACACCCCCAAUGACCUGCAGGACACCCCCAGACCUGGGGAUGGGGACAGUGACCUGCAGGCCACCCCCAGACCCCGGGAUGGGGACAGUGACCUGCAGGCCACCCCCACACCUGGGCACACCUGGCACCAAGGAGCAGGGCAAGGGGGUCCUUCCAGAAAUGCCGGGUGGGGGAAUCUCAGUUUUUAGCCAACUACCUCGGUAACUCCAAUUCAGGUUUCUUUGAGUCCCGAGCCCGUCCCGGGCGGGUGCGAGGGCGGGGCCCGGGCGCUGCCGCCGCUCCGGCCCCUCCACUUCUCUGUCCCAGCCUUUGGCCCCAGAGCCAAAGCUCCUCCUGUGCUCUUUGGUGGCAAAACGUUGUUGCUUUUGAGUUUGCGAAGCGUCACCUUUUUGACUUUGUCUUGGAGAGUUUCUGUCCCGGCUCUGCUGUUCCCACUGGCUCCUCCCGGCUCUGGUUCGCUCUGGACCUCGCUGGCUUUUCCCCCUGCAGCUCAGGAUGGGCCGGCGGGAGCUGCCCUGCCCUGGGCCGGCCGAGGGGCAGGGGGAUGUCCCUGGGCCCGCUGCUGGCCUGAGACCCCCGAGGGGCUUGGUGUUGCUGGGCACUGCCAGACCCCGAACCCUGCAUCCCCUUUAUCCCUGCCCUUCGAGUACCCCAAACCCUGCAUCCCCCUUUAUCCCUGCCCUUAGAGUACCCCAAACCCUGCAUCCAUCCUUCAGCCCCUGCUCUGGACACCCCAAACCCUCCAUCCCCUUUAUCCCUGCCCUUAGAGUACCCCAAACCCUGCAUCCCUUUUCUCCCUCCCCUCUGGACACCCCAAACCCUCCAUCCCCCUUUAUCCCUGCUCUGGGCACCCCAAACCCUCC